GACGAACGCUGGCGGCGUGCCUAAUACAUGCAAGUUGAGCGCUGAAGGUUGGUACUUGUACCAACUGGAUGAGCAGCGAACGGGUGAGUAACGCGUGGGUAAUCUGCCUUUGAGCGGGGGACAACAUUUGGAAACGAAUGCUAAUACCGCAUAAAAACUUUAAACACAAGUUUUAAGUUUGAAAGAUGCAAUUGCAUCACUCAAUGAUGAUCUCGCGUUGUAUUAGCUGGUUGGUGAGGUAAAGGCUCACCAAGGCGAUGAUACAUAGCCGACCUGAGAGGGUGAACGGCCACAUUGGGACUGGGACACGGCCCAAAAUCCUACGGGAGGCAGCAGUAGGGAAUCUUCGGCAAUGGACGGAAGGCUGAACGAGCAACGCCGCGUGAGUGAAGAAGGUUUUCGGGUCGGAAAACUCUGUUGGUAGAGAAGAACGUUGGUGGGAGUGGAAAGCUCAUCAAGUGACGGUAACUACCCAGAAAGGGACGGCUAACUACGUG
rnacentral:rRNA from 1 species